AUUCACUUGAAAAAUUAGAACCUUCACCUAUGUUAUUCCUUAAUUGAAUUGUAUUUUUUCAGAAUGUCAAAAGACUGAAGAAAAGCGGGCAGAGCUGGACAUCAACGACUGUGCUUCAGGAGUAGGUUACUGAGGUGCAGCAGUGGCCUGAAGCCCCACUUUAGUCAGACAGAGCAGACGGGGCAUCUCCAGAAGAAGAUUGAGGGACUUUACCUCAGCGUGAAACAGAGUAAACACUACCUCUACCAUUUGACAGACGGCAAAAAGAGGAGGCAUCAGAUUCGGAGACAAAUUGUUGAGGACAAAGCAGCCUUGACAGCUUCCAUUGCUAAACUUCACAAGCAGCCGGCAGAGUUUAGACUCCCCCCAGUGGAUGAGCUGCUCAAUACUGAUAACUUUGUGUGGCCAUGGGAGAGACUUGGUACCAGCAAUCUUGGACAGACUGAUGGUGAAAAGACUCCCGGAGGAAGAGAGCAUCCUGGUGUAGGAGAUGAAGAGGCACUGGGGGAGCCUACAAAGAGCAGUGGGAUCUCUGGAGGCAAUGCCCCUCCAGCUGCAAGAUCAGAGUAAUUUGAGGCAAUGCGUGGAGUUGUCACAGGGAGGGCCUUCUCUGAAGAUUAAGUGAACUGACACAAGACCAAGUAAACACCAGGAAUACCUACCACAUACUGAUUCUGGGAGUAGGGGAUAUAUAUCACUCUGAUAUAGAUGACAACUCAGAUGAAGAUAGAAGUCCUAUUGCUGAGAGCUCCGAUGACGACUGCUAUGCUUUCUGAAAUCGUACACCACCCCUGCCUCUUUCUCUCAGUCUCGCUCUCUCCUGCAGGAGAGGGAGAAGGCCACCACCACCUCCAUUGGGAGCAGCCUGGUCUCCUGACGUUGACCCCUGACCCCUCACCUUCUGAACCCAUCCAGGGAAAUGUAAUUUGCCUGAUGACGCACUAGUGGAGAAGGAAUGUGUCGUUUCAGCUCAUUUGUUGCCAUGUUUCCUCACCUCCUCUCCUCCGUUUUUCUGGUCCUAGACUAUGGCGACAUCAUCAGCAACUCAGACUGUUGGUUGAGGGCCUCUUUACUGAGGAAUGUGGUUGUUCUUCAUGAUAGUUUUUUUUCUGUGCUGUCGUGAUUGGGAUUUUUGUG